GGCCUUUUAUGUUUUUUUCUCAUUCUUCUGGGGAGGAAUUAUUUGGCCUUUUCUGAAACAACAGAGAAUGUAUUUUGUGUUUGCUCAAAUGCUCUCUUCUGUAUCUACAUGGUUGGCUAUAAUUCUUUUAAUAUUUAUCAGCCUUUUCCCCGAGAUUCUCCUAAUAGUAGUAAAGAAUGUGCGAAGAAGGAGUGCCAGGAGAAAUCUGAGCUGUAGAAGGGCAUCUGACUCAUUAUCCGCCAGACCUUCAGUCAGACCUCUUCUUUUACGAACAUUCUCAGACGAAUCUAAUAUAUUGUAACAGAAUCCGAAUCUUGAACUGCCUAUGUUAUUGUCCUACAAGCAUAUUGACCGUGGUUGCAGCUAAAGAAAGAAAGCAUGAAGGAAGAGCUACAGAAGAUAUUAACUCAGGAUACUCAAUGUGAAACAGAAACCACUCUCAUGUGUAGGCUUCAGAAUAAAUGGU
rnacentral:lncRNA from 1 species